rnacentral:rRNA from 1 species
UACGUAGGGUGCAAGCGUUAAUCGGAAUUACUGGGCGUAAAGCGUGCGUAGGUGGUUUGUUAAGUCUGUUGUGAAAGCCCCGGGCUCAACCUGGGAAUGGCAAUGGAUACUGGCAAGCUAGAGUGCGGUAGAGGGUAGUGGAAUUCCCGGUGUAGCGGUGAAAUGCGUAGAGAUCGGGAGGAACACCAGUGGCGAAGGCGGCUACCUGGACCAGCACUGACACUGAGGCACGAAAGCGUGGGGAGCAAACAGGG